AUUCUCCAUAUAUAAAGCAUACAGACCUGUCAAAUAGGAAAGAACUGCCAUGCAAAUUAGAAAGAUCUAGUGUAGAAAAGUUCAAAGUCAUAAACAAAGAAAUUCAAGUUCAGUACAUAGACUCGAAACGAGUCUGAGAAAUCCCAGAGUUCCAAAGUAGAACCCUAGUCCGAACACCAGAUCGAAACUUGCCCAAAACCCCAAAAUCCUAGGGUUUCCAACUCGAGUAAGAUACAAAGAGGAGGAGGCAAGUAAUUGAACACAUGCUCAGGAAUCUCUUUCAGAGACUUAUGAGAAAAACAAGCAGAUACAAUAACAAGUUCGAGGCAAACAUAGUGAAGAAACUGAUUUGAAGCAUAAAGACAUAUUUUAAGAAAAUCUCAGAACUUAAAUAGGUUCAGAGGAGAAAACAUGUAACAUAGCACUUAAGAGAACAGUAGAUGAAACAUGUUUAGAAAGAACUCAAACAAAGUCCAGAAGAAGGCAAAUAAGAACUAAGAGCUUAGUAGAAAAUACAGUAAAGGGACACAGGGUUAAACAAACACAUAAGAUAAACGUGUGAAAGCAUGACAUAGAAACCAGUAGAAGAAAGAACGGAGCAUAGUAGAAGAAUAUGCAUAAUAAAGCAAACAUAAGAACACAGGGGAGGAUCAUGCGAGGCAUAAAAAGAAAACAUAAGAACAUAACAUAGGUAGAUACACACAAAGAAAAGAAGAAGAAGAGUCAGAAAACAUUUUAAAACUUUUCAGAAACCUUAAAUCGAAGAGAAACAAAUUUUGAAAGAGAAGAUUGGGGAAAACGUUUUAAAACUCCAGUAGAACACAGAUAUAGCAUGGAUCUAAGAAAACAACCCGAGAAAAACCUCGAAUAGCUAGGGUUUCAGAGAUACCCUAGAAAUGAGAAAGGCUUGGAAGAAGGUCCGAUCUUGAGUCGGAUGAGGUCAGAAAAGGCUUCUAGUACUUGAAUAUGCCGGAGCAUGGCCGGAGAAGCCAUAUAUCUACAGAUCUGAGCAGGAUUUAAAGAGAAACAUCAGAUUCGGGCUUCAAAUCAUCGAACAACUUAGGUUUGAUGGUGAGAGAGGGUGAGUACAGGCCAUCCAUGGCCUGAGAAGCCAUGGAUUCCGGUGAAGUAACGGUUGAAAAGGGUGGAAGUCAACUAGGGUUCCGAAGAACUUUCGAGAGAGUUUGAGAGACGAAGGGAUUCAAAGGCGGCU
rnacentral:lncRNA from 1 species